rnacentral:rRNA from 1 species
GAUGAACGCUGGCGGCGUGCCUAAUACAUGCAAGUCGAGCGAACGGACGAGAAGCUUGCUUCUCUGAUGUUAGCGGCGGACGGGUGAGUAACACGUGGAUAACCUACCUAUAAGACUGGGAUAACUUCGGGAAACCGUAGCUAAUACCGGAUAAUAUUUUGAACCGCAUGGUUCAAAAGUGAAAGACUGUCUUGCUGUCACUUAUAGAUGGAUCCGCGCUGCAUUAGCUAGUUGGUAAGGUAACGGCUUACCAAGGCAACGAUGCAUAGCCGACCUGAGAGUGUGAUCGGCCACACUGGAACUGAGACACGGUCCAGACUCCUACGGGAGGCAGCAGUAGGGAAUCUUCCGCAAUGGGCGAAAGCCUGACGGAGCAACGCCGCGUGAGUGAUGAAGGUCUUCGGAUCGUAAAACUCUGUUAUUAUGGAAGAACAUAUGUGUAAGUAACUGUGCACAUCUUGACGGUACCUAAUCAGAAAGCCACGGCUAACUACGUG